rnacentral:rRNA from 1 species
UGGGGAAUUUUGGACAAUGGGCGCAAGCCUGAUCCAGCAAUGCCGCGUGCAGGAUGAAGGCCUUCGGGUUGUAAACUGCUUUUGUACGGAACGAAACGGCUCUGGUUAAUACCUGGGGCUAAUGACGGUACCGUAAGAAUAAGCGCCGGCUAACUACGUGCCAGCAGCCGCGGUAAUACGUAGGGUGCGAGCGUUAAUCGGAAUUACUGGGCGUAAAGCGUGCGCAGGCGGUGAUGUAAGACAGAUGUGAAAUCCCCGGGCUCAACCUGGGACCUGCAUUUGGGACUGCAUCGCUGGAGUGCGGCAGAGGGGGAUGGAAUUCCGCGUGUAGCAGUGAAAUGCGUAGAUAUGCGGAGGAACACCGAUGGCGAAGGCAAUCCCCUGGGCCUGCACUGACGCUCAUGCACGAAAGCGUGGGGAGCAAACA